rnacentral:snRNA from 1 species
AUUGGGGGCGCAACGCCCU